ensembl:lincRNA
AUGUGUGGGAGGAGCUGCAGAGCUAGCAAAAACAUACUUACUAUUCUGGGCUUUCUCCUGCUCCUACAUUUAAGGCGGAGGCCUGGCUCAGUGUUAUCCUGGCUGCAUGGGGUAGGCCUUUCCCAUGGAGGCAUGAUGUUUACAUCAACACAGAAGAUAUUCCUGGUCAACACUUGCAGAGGCUGCAGCCUACCUGCCAUCCCCCCCUUUUUUACAUUUAAGUUUUUUUUUUUUAAGGUAAAUGCUACACCCAGUGCUCAAUGUGGGGCUCGCACUCACAACCCCAAGAUCAAGAGUCACAUGCUCUACCAAUUGAGCCAGCAGCCCUUUUAUUUUAAAAAAAAAAAAAUCCUUUUUAAAAAUUUUUUAGAUUUUAUUUAUUUAUUUUAGAAGGAGAGAGAAUGUACGAGAAGGAGGAGUGGCAGACAGACAGAAGCAGUUUCUCUGCUGAGCAGGGAGCCUGAUACAGGACUCGAUCCCAGGACCCCAGGAUCAUGACCUGAGCCAAAGGCAGACAUUUAACCACCUGAGCCACCCAGGGGUCCCUUCAAAAAAAUUUCUUUUAAGUAAGCUAUCUGCCCCUCUUGUGAAGUCAUGCAUAAACUGAGUUGGGCUGGGGGUCCAGAAGUCUGGACUUUGUCCAAAUGUCCCUCCUCCUAUAAUUGAGAGUGUCACAACUGAGUGUUGAGUGACUGACCAUGAUCUCUUGGCACCCAGCCCUCUCGGCCCAGGGAAAAUUGCUUUUUUUUUUUUCUUCCAGGAACUUGGGGACUGACCAGCUGUCAGCAGUGAACGGGAGAGGGCAGGCUUGAGUGAGGCUGGGAUAUAUGAGAGGAAAAUUCCAGAGAGCACAGGACCUCAGGAGAGCCAGAGACCAGUCCAAGUGCGGGGAUGGCCCCGCUUGGGGCCGAGUGCCAUAGUGGAGGAAAGGUCUUUUGCAGUUAGGGCACACUGUGCUCCUGCUCCUAGGCCUUAGUCUUUCCACUUUUGCUCAAGCUGGUACUUACGAAAGCACAGGAGACCUUUCAGAAGAGGGGUACUAAAAUGCCAUGGGGCCUUAUGACAAAGCACAGUACUGUCUGAGCCAAAACAGGAUAAAAACCACUUGCAUUCUUGCCAAAAGUCUUGCCAGUUCUGUCUCUAUUUGUGUAUAUCUACUCGAAAAUUGAUUGUUUAAAUCUUUGAAUUAAAAAAAUAAGUUCCUUGAGGUAUAACUUACAUACAAUAAAAUUUUCUCUUUUAAGGUAUACAUAAUUAAGUUUGGGCAAUGUUUUUUGCUUUUGUUUCUUUUUUUAGUUUUUGGCAAUUUUUUAAAAGAAUUUUAUUUAUUUAUUUAGAGAGAUUGAGAGAGCACACACGCGCACAUGUACACACGCAUGCAGGUGCUUGGGGAGAAGAGUAGAAGGAGAGGGAGAGAGACUCUCAAGGAAACUCUGCACUGAGCACAAGCCAGAAUCAUGAUCCCGAGAUCAUUAUCGGAGCCAAAAUCAAGAGUCAGACCCCCAACCAACUGAGCCACAUAAGCGCCCAAGUUUUGGCAAAUCUAUAAAGUUAUUUAACCACCAUUCCCAGCAUACAGAGAAGUUCCCUUAUGCCCCUUCUAAUCCCCAUCACCACCCACCACAAGCUCCAGCAACCUCUGACUCUUUUCUGCCAAUAUAGUUUGCCUUUUCUAAAAUGUCAUGUAAGUAGAAUCAUAUAGUCUUUUUUUUUUUUUNNNNNNNNNNN